rnacentral:rRNA from 1 species
GUGUGGGGGUCCUUCCACGACCUCCGUGCCGCAGCUAACGCAUUAAGCGCCCCGCCUGGGGAGUACGGCCGCAAGGCUAAAACUCAAAGGAAUUGACGGGGGCCCGCACAAGCGGCGGAGCAUGCGGAUUAAUUCGAUGCAACGCGAAGAACCUUACCAAGGCUUGACAUGCACGGGAAAGUUCCAGAGAUGGUUCCCCCGCAAGGUCCGUGCACAGGUGGUGCAUGGUUGUCGUCAGCUCGUGUCGUGAGAUGUUGGGUUAAGUUCCGCAACGAGCGCAACCCUUGUCUUAUGUUGCCAGCACGUUAUGGUGGGGACUCAUAAGAGACUGCCGGGGUCAACUCGGAGGAAGGUGGGGAUGACGUCAAAUCAUCAUGCCCCUUAUGUCUUGGGCUUCACGCAUGCUACAAUGGCCGGUACAAAGGGCUGCGAAACCGUGAGGUGGAGCGAAUCCCAAAAAGCCGGUCUCAGUUCGGAUUGGGGUCUGCAACUCGACCCCAUGAAGUCGGAGUCGCUAGUAAUCGCAGAUCAGCAACGCUGCGGUGAAUACGUUCCCGGGCCUUGUACACUCCGCC